AUUGAACGCUGGCGGCAUGCCUUACACAUGCAAGUCGAACGGCAGCGGACCUUCGGGUGCCGGCGAGUGGCGAACGGGUGAGUAAUAUAUCGGAACGUACCUUUCAGUGGGGGAUAACGUAGCGAAAGUUACGCUAAUACCGCAUAUUCUGUGAGCAGGAAAACAGGGGAUCGCAAGACCUUGCGCUGAUUGAGCGGCCGAUAUCAGAUUAGCUAGUUGGUGAGGUAAAGGCUCACCAAGGCGACGAUCUGUAGCGGGUCUGAGAGGAUGAUCCGCCACACUGGAACUGAGACACGGUCCAGACUCCUACGGGAGGCAGCAGUGGGGAAUUUUGGACAAUGGGCGCAAGCCUGAUCCAGCCAUGCCGCGUGAGUGAAGAAGGCCUCGGUUGU
rnacentral:rRNA from 1 species